ACUUGCGUUAAUAUAAUAUAACUUAAUAACGCGUACAAUACAACAUUAACAAUUUUCAUGCUCAUAUAAAUUUGGUAUGAAUAAAUAUAUCAAUAUCAAGAAUAAUGUAUUUUAGAAAAGUAAAAAAAAAGUAGAAAAGAAAUAUCUGGGAAGAAUACUGUUCAUGAAAUCCUCUGAAGGUAAUGAAUGAUUUUAUAAAUACAAAUCAUUACGUUCAAUCAUAUAUUUUGUUAGUUAUUUGUAUGAUUUUAUUAGUA